CUAAUUGUUGCUGGGGAUGUUUUUUUCUUGCUUUGGGGUACAGGGGACAUAAUCAUAGGGCUGUGUGUGCCAGGCUGUGUGUGUGCCAGGCACUCCCUCAGGGCUGUGUGUGUGCUCGUUCUGUCCACCAGGUUUGCCUCUUGUCAUCAAAUGGAUAAAGUCAAAACUUUGUUUCACUGAGAAAUCUCUCAUCAUUUACUUGCGAUAAAAUUUGAGCAUCCCUUUUGAAGAGUACCAAAAAUAUGUCUCAUAGAUGUAUGUGGCUUAUUUCUGUCCUUCUUCCCUCCCUCUACUCCUUUCUCUCUUUCUGUGCAGCCCCAGCCAGAGGUUUUAUGUUUGAUAACUCCUGUAUCCUGCGUCAAGCCUCUGAUUGGUUAUUCUUGAUUCACUUCCUCUCUCAUCAAGAC
rnacentral:lncRNA from 1 species